rnacentral:rRNA from 1 species
CCUACGGGAGGCAGCAGUGAGGAAUAUUGGUCAAUGGACGAGAGUCUGAACCAGCCAAGUAGCGUGAAGGAUGACUGCCCUAUGGGUUGUAAACUUCUUUUAUAUGGGAAUAAAAUGAUCCACGUGUGGGAUUUUGUAUGUACCAUAUGAAUAAGGAUCGGCUAACUCCGUGCCAGCAGCCGCGGUAAUACGGAGGAUCCGAGCGUUAUCCGGAUUUAUUGGGUUUAAAGGGAGCGUAGGUGGAUUGUUAAGUCAGUUGUGAAAGUUUGCGGCUCAACCGUAAAAUUGCAGUUGAAACUGGCAGUCUUGAGUACAGUAGAGGUGGGCGGAAUUCGUGGUGUAGCGGUGAAAUGCUUAGAUAUCACGAAGAACUCCGAUUGCGAAGGCAGUUCACUGGACUGAAACUGACACUGAGGCUCGAAAGUGUGGGUAUCAAACAGGAUUAGAUACCCUUGUAGUC